rnacentral:rRNA from 1 species
GUUACUGCUAUCGGAGUUCGAUUAAGCCAUGCGAGUCUAAAGGUUUCUUCGGAAACCUUGGCGAACUGCUCAGUAACACGUGGAUAACCUACCCUUGGGACUGGAAUAACCCCGGGAAACUGGGGAUAAUACCGGAUAGAUCAGGGAUGCUGGAAUGCACCUUGAUCUAAAGCUCCGGCGCCCAAGGAUGGGUCUGCGGCCUAUCAGGUAGUAGUGGGUGUAAUGUACCUACUAGCCAACGACGGGUACGGGUUGUGAGAGCAAGAGCCCGGAGAUGGAUUCUGAGACACGAAUCCAGGCCCUACGGGGUGCAGCAGGCGCGAAACCUUUACAAUGUGCGAAAGCAUGAUAAGGGAACUCCGAGUGCCAGCAUCUAAUGUUGGCUGUCCUUGUGCCUAAAACGCACAAGAUAGCAAGGGCCGGGUAAGACCGGUGCCAGCCGCCGCGGUAACACCGGCGGCCCGAGUGGUAGCCGCUAUUAUUGGGUCUAAAGGGUCCGUAGCCGGUUCGAUAAGUCUUCUGGGAAAUCUGGUUGCUUAACAAUCAGACUGCCAAGGGAUACUGUCGAACUUGAGACCGGGAGAGGUAAGAGGUACUUCAGGGGUAGGAGUGAAAUCUUGUAAUCCCUGGGGGACCAUCUGUGGCGAAGGCGUCUUACCAGAACGGGUCUGACGGUGAGGGACGAAAGCUGGGGGCGCAAACCGGAUUAGAUACCCGGGUAGUCCCAGCCGUAAACGAUGCUCGCUAUGUGUCAGGUACGGUGUGACCGUAUCUGGUGCCGUAGGGAAGCCGUGAAGCGAGCCACCUGGGAAGUACGGUCGCAAGACUGAAACUUAAAGGAAUUGGCGGGGGAGCACUACAACGGGUGGAGCCUGCGGUUUAAUUGGAUUCAACGCCGGA